GGGCGCGUAGCUCAGCGGGAGAGCACUCGCCUUACAAGCGAGGGGUCGCAGGUUCGAACCCUGCCGCGCCCACUA
rnacentral:tRNA from 1 species